rnacentral:rRNA from 1 species
ACGCUCGACACCUACGAGAGGCAGCAGUGGGGAAUAUUGCACAAUGGGCGAAAGCCUGAUGCAGCAACGCCGCGUGAAGGAGGAAGGCCUUCGGGUCGUAAACUUCUGUCCUUGAGGAAGAAGAACUGACGGUACUCAAGGAGGAAGCCCCGGCUAACUACGUGCCAGCAGCCGCGGUAAUCUGAGCGGGCUGGCAAGGC